rnacentral:rRNA from 1 species
CCUACGGGAGGCAGCAGUGAGGAAUAUUGCUCAAUGGGCGCAAGCCUGACCCAGCCACGUAGCGUGAAGGAUGAAUGCCCUACGAGUUUUAAACUUCUUUUGUAAGGGAAUACAGUGACGCACGUAUGCCUUUUUGUAUGUACUUUAUUAGUAAGGAUCGGCUAACUCCGUUCCAUCAGCCGCGGUGAGACGGAGGAUCCGGACGUUAUCCGUAUUUAUUGGGUUUAAAGGGAGCGUCGAUGGGUUGUUAAGUCAGUGGGGAAAGUUUGCGGCUAAACCGGAAAAGUGCAAUUGAUACUGGCAGAAGUGAGUACAGGUGAGGUAGGUGGAAUUCGUGGUGUAGUAGUGAAAUGCUUAGAUAUCACGAAGAACUCGUAUGGAGAAGGCA